rnacentral:rRNA from 1 species
UCGAGGAUCUUCGGCAAUGGGCGAAAGCCUGACCGAGCGACGCCGCGUGUGGGAUGAAGGCCUUCGGGUUGUAAACCACUGUCAACGGGGAGGAAAUGCAGGGGGGUUCUCCCCUCUGCUUGACCUAUCUGUGGAGGAAGUACGGGCUAAGUUCGUGCCAGCAGCCGCGGUAAGACGAACCGUACGAACGUUAUUCGGAAUUACUGGGCUUAAAGGGUGCGUAGGCUGCGCGGAAAGUUGGGUGUGAAAGCCCUCAGCUCAACUGAGGAAUUGCACUCAAAACUUCCGUGCUCGAGGGAGACAGAGGUAAGCGGAACUCAAGGUGGAGCGGUGAAAUGCGUUGAUAUCUUGAGGAACACCGGUGGCGAAGGCGGCUUACUGGGUCUUUUCUGACGCUGAGGCACGAAAGCCAAGGUAGCAAACG